ACCAGCCGCUGCCAGAGCUGAAUCCUGAACAAUGCUGGUUGUUCUCGGGGAGAGCAGAUUUAGGGAAAACAGAAUCGAGGAGAAACAGUCUUUUAGGCAUGAAGGUUUGUGCAGGAGGAGCUCCAGGCACACAGCAGCAGCUCUCUGCCACUCAAGAGAGGCCCAUGGAGGAGCAGGACAUCCCCCUGUAUCCCAUGGGCACCCCAUGGAACAGAUCGCCCCGUGCAGCCAUGGACGAGCUGUGGUGCAGCUGUGGAUGAAGUCUGAAGGAGGCUCAGCCCACAUAUACCACUUCAGGAGCAACCUGGGCUGGAGCUGCAGUCCAUUAGGAGCUGUGGGGAGCAGUGCUGGGAGGAACAUUCUCUUCUUUCCAUCUUCCCUGAUUAGGAAAGAAGUAAGGAAAAGCUUCAGUUGCGCUUCUCAAUUCAGAAUAGACAAAGGUACUCUAGCAAGACACAAAUGUGUUGCAAAGAAGCAAGCUGAUCAAAAAAAGAAAGCAUGGGAAGUGAAAGUGUCACAUUUACAGGUGCUAUGUAGGUCAUGGCGAAUUUGCUACAGCACUUCUCAUUGGCUUUUAUUACACGGAUCUUAAUGAAUGGAAAGGAAGAAUUAUCCAAGCCAAGCCUUUUUUUUUUUUUCCCCCCCUUCAGUUUAAUAUCUCUUCCAUCUAUGAGGAUGUGUGAGUAGCUUUUGUCCAGUGAAAAGGAACCUUUGUUUGAAGGAACUUCUGUGAAGAGUGCCACUACAGAGAAAGUCAGGCACUAGUGAUGCAGAGGGAUCUGGC
rnacentral:lncRNA from 1 species